AAAACCCUAAAAAUUUCCCCCAACAUCAUCAGUUCUUGGAGCGCUCUUGGAGUUCAUCUUCUUCAUCAGAUUUGUUAAGUUUUCUGGGAGGCUUUGCAGGAUAUCACUCUCAUUUAUCCUCAUGGUUUGUGCUGUUGUCUCCAUUAGUGUGGGAUUUGCCACGGAAGGCUGGCCAAAAGGAAUAUACGAUGGACUAGCUGUUCUGCUUAGUAUAUUCUUGGUAGUCAUUGUUACUGCAAUUAGUGAUUAUAGGCAGUCGUUGCAGUUCAAGGAUUUGCAUAAGGAGAAGAAAAAUAUACUUAUCUAGGCAGUCGUUGAAAUGACAUUGCUUCUGCAGGCAAUAUUUCACAAUACGGUAGCAGAGGUUGUUAAGGAUAAGGGCGGAAAGAAAUCUAAUCUCGGUACACCAACAGAAUCAGCAAUAUUAGAAUAUGUAUUGCUUCUUGGUGGUGAUAUUGACAAGAAAAGAAGGGUCUGUAAACUGCUGAAGGUUGAGCCUUUCAAUUCGGAAAAGAAAAAGAUGUAUGUGCUUAUUGCGCUCCCAGAUGGAAACAACCGAGCUUUCUGCAAGGGUGAAGCCGAGAUAAUCUUUAAAAUGUGUGGUGUAAAUGAAUGGUUCCUGAAAUGCUCAAAUCUUGAAUGUAGGUGAUCGCUUGAGCAUCACCAAUGGACAAGCUUGUGUUGGUAAAUAAUCUAAAAGGUACGUUCGUGUUGUAACCAGAUUUUUUGUGGUAGAUAUGUGUCUGGCUGCUGAAUCUAAUUGCAGGGACAUAUAUAGUGGUCAAAAUGAUUAUGCAGGUCUUAGAGUUGAUACUGAUUCUGUUAAGAAGAAUCUUUCUUUGUUCCUUCUUUUUGGAGAUUUCGAAAGCUUUUUCAAAGCUCGAGGGGACUUGAACAACGUGUUCCCUUGUAUCCUUUAGAAUCUCGUGUUGGAUUAAGGGACUACACAGACUUAUGGAUAAAUAAUCUAAAAGGUACGUUUAAUGAGAUUGUUGCAGUUACUGGUGAAAAAAAAUGAUGCUCCUGCUCUCAAUGAGGCGGAUAUUGGAUUUGCUAUGGGUAUAGCAGGCACAAAGGUUGUAAAGAAAGUGCUGAUAUCAUAGUGAUCGAUGAAAACUUUAGCAUAAUCGUGAAUGUGGCUAAAUGGGGUCGUUCUGUAUACAUAAAUAUUCAAAAGUUUGUGCAGUUCUAGAUGACAGUCUGUGUUGUGGCUCUGAUAAUCAAUUUUAUCUCUGCAUGCAUUUCAGGAUCUGCUCCUUUUACCGCGGUUCAGCUGCUGUGGGUUAACCUUAUUAUGGACACUUUAGGUGCAAUUGCCUUGACUACAGAACCACCACAUGAAGAACUAAUGAACAGACCUCCUGUUGGAAGGGAAGUGAGUUUGAUUUCCAAGACGAUGUGGAGAAAUAUAAUCGGACAAAGUAUCUUCCAACUAGCUAUACAAAGAAAAUACAAGCUGAAGACUUUAAAUUCAGUCUCGAAAUUGGCCUCGUAUAUUGCACUCGAGGUCCAACUAAACAUACAUUUCCCAUUGUUUUGCCACGAAACCAAUCUCGAACGUACAUACAUAAUGUCAUCGGACAAAGUAUCUUCCAACUAGGGUGGUGUAGUCAUUUGUAUUUUGAUGUAAUGUUAGCAAUCUGCAGGUUACAACUAAUGUAAUGUCAUCAUGUUUUGCUUUUGGAAAAUUGUUAGUAAUCGUGUUAAUCUCUUGAUUGUAAAGGAAAAGCUCUUUGCAAUCUGCAUUUUACCAUUUA